CGUGCCUUACCGUGUUGCAUGGAGGUAACAGAUGCCAGAGCCCGGAGGAGGCGCAAAGCUCACAAACAGAUGCGGGACCGGCAGGAAGCCGGGGACGGGCCUUCCUCCCCUGAAGCAGGAGGACGCGCCCUACAGAAAGCCGCUGGAUCCUCCAGGCAUUUGUUGUGAGCACUUAAUCAUCAUCGAUCAUUUGACGUGUACUCACUAGUAAAAGGCAGGACUGUGUCCCCCCUCUGCUGACCUUGGCUCUUGGGGGCUGAUAUGAGCCCCUGAUGAGCCUCAUGAGCCGGGGGAAGUAGAACAGGCCCAGGUCCAGCCCGUUAUUGGGGGGGGGGAGGAUGGGGACAUGACCGGGAGGUGGGCAAGGAGAGCGUCUACAGCUCAGGGGAGCCAGGGAUCACCGCUCCCCCUUCCUGCAGGUCCCCAGGCUCACUUCCAGGGCAGUUAGCCUGACCACCGCCCACUGACGUCAGUAACUCUCCUUCCCUCCAACGCAGGGCCUCCUGCUGAGGGGUCAGAGGUCAUGACGUCAUCUUGUUGCCAGUCACCGCGGCCGCUGAGCUGAGAGGCGGGUACUGUGACUGUAACCGGUGGCCUGGCCCCUCCCUGAGCUGCUGCCUGGGCUUGGCUUGGGGUGCGGGGGGCGGGGAGGGGGUCUGGGGAGACAAGAUUCAUAAACAGGUGACAGAGGGAAGUGCCGAGAGGAGAAGCAAGAGCCUGGGAGAACGACAGCGCCCGGUCUGCCCCUCCGAGGGACCCCCACCCCCGCCCGGUCUGGCCCGGGCCCGCGGCUGCAGCGUGUGGGGUCUCAGUGGGACCAGCGGACGUCACAGCAGGGGCACGGGGCCUGAGACGCCAGGCGCCUGGCAGGGCCCACACUGGGUGGGCGCACCCCGCCCCUGCCCACCGCCCCCCCGGGAGCUCCCCCUCCCCCUCCUGCGGCUGCAGCUUUCCUGGUCACGGGGACGGUGAGUCGCCUCCGCCAACUGAAGCCUCUGCAGGAAAGCUCUCUGUACCCAUCCGCGCUGGGCGCGCACCUGGACCAGUGAAGGAACGUUACAAGGCCGGGCAAUCCCCAAGCCUGCUUCCCCGGCUCACCUGAUGCGCCCCCGAAAUGCUUCACACACGGCCUGAAGUCAACGUCUGUUCCUGGGAUGACAGAUCCAAGGCCGUGUCCGCGCCCCUCCACUGCUCUUGUCCGGGCUGGAGUUCUCAGAACCACACUGCCUCUCAGGCUGAUCAGAGAAAAUCAGGCGGUCCCAAACACCCACAGCUGCGGCUCGCCUGUGCGAGGCAAUGGUGGAAGGUGUCCAGUAAAUAAACACCAAGGACCUCCAAGAUACUCGGAGCGAGGCAUCGAUGCCUGAAGGGACACUCAUGUGCUGACCCGUGCAUAGACGUGUCUGAAAAUGUCAUCUCAUCCUGCCCACAUCUGUGCUCAGUCCCCACAAGUCUGCACUGUACCUCCAGCUCCAACCAUCACCACGUGGAUCACAAACCCUCUGCUUGGCCUAACAGGAACUUGGCAGAGGCUUCAUUCUAGGAGCCCUGGCUUAGUGCAGGGCGCCAGGACAUGGCCACUUGGGAGCGGGUCUGCUCGGCCUGUGGGUGCCAUCCACACACUAAGCCAGGUCCCAACUCGAGUUCCAAAUCCACAUCCUUCCCCAGGAGCUGUAGGCCCAAGUGUUUCAGUCCUCAGGCAGGUUGUGGUUCUGCCCCGGGAGCUCAGCCCCAGAACCGUGGGGGAUACCGGUCUCUCACUUUCACACAAAGGCCACAAUGCCUCUGGCUGGCGUGAUGCCCAGAUUCUGCCCCUCAGACACAUGUGUGGCAGCCCUGCCCCCAGCACCUCCCAUCGGGCCUGCCUGUGACAACAAGGUCUUUGAACAGAGAAUUGAGUUAAAUGAGGCCAUUCAGGUGGGCCCUGAUCCAAUAGACCCGGUGUCCUUGUGGGAAGAGGAGGUCAGGACAUAGAGACCCACACACACAGGGUGGCCAAGCGAGGACACGGGCAGGAGACGGCCAUCCACAGGCCACGGGGAGAGGCCUCAGGGGGACCGGUGCUGCCCACACCUGGGUCUUGGGUUCCAGCCUCCAGGACGGGAGACGGUAAAUGUGUGUUGUUCACACUACAUCCAUAACACUCUGUUACGGCCGCCUGAUGGGCAAAUGCAACUGCAGCCUCAGACUUAACCCCAGAUGGCAGGAGUGAGCGGCAAGCAGGGGCCACUCGGCUGACCUGCCUGUGGGGUCGCUGAAUUGCAAAGAGGGUGAUGGUCUCCAGCACCUUCCCUCUGAAUGCCAGCCGUGUGUUACCUCCAGUGUGGACACCAACUUCUCUGUCAUUUAAAACCUCCAUCGCUGCCUUGAUACUCCUCAGGGUGACAGCUAUGCUUCUCUCCAUCUAGUCUUUCUUUUUCCAAAAUGGAGCUAAAAACACACCAGCUGAGAGCUGGGCUCCCCUCCUCUUGCUGCCGUUCAGUUGCUAAGUCAUAUCGACUCUUUGCAGGGACAGUUGAACCAAUUCUACACAUUCUAACGGGAAUGGGGCCCCAGGGACAGAGUGGGCUGCACCCCACGAUGGGGCAGCUCCAAGUACGAGCGACACAGAUGUCUUUACUCCUAAACCCCAGUCAACGGGCAGCAGCACAGCAGCACCAGGAUCGUCUCAGCGGCCCAAACAGGCCCUGAUUGGCAGAGAACCCCAGGCAAGAGCGACCGCAGGGCCACAGGCCUGCUCCAACCCGGACGUCAAGCCCCACCUUCAGUGAGGUAAAGAGUAAAGUCAGAGGAACUUUUCAGAGCACGAAGCAAAGGACACUCCCUCAGAGACGAAUCUGGAGAGAACCUGAGAAAAAGUCAACCAGCACGUGAGUGAAACACAGAAGAGGCAAACCUCCCAGAUGAAAGAGAGAGAAAAAUGGUUAAAAUGCCAAAAAGUGGCACCAGAACAUGCAUUUCACCCUCAACUAUCAUCAGAACUUGUGUGGGGUCUUGUUACACAUGGUCAGGUGGGCGUGUCUGUGAUUAAGUGAGAAGCACCUCCCACUGGUUCAUCCACUUCACUGAGAGGUUUGGUGACACCAAGGAGCUGGGGGUGGCAGGGUAGUAGGGCAGAGGUCCCCGGAUUUCAGAGUCACGGUCAGCAGGAGUGUGAGCAGGGGCUGGGCACCUAGGGGUAAUGUGGGGUCCUCAGCGGGAGACACAGGAGUGGAUGAGCCACCCCGCGAGGGAGACGGUCAGACAGUGAUGGGUCAGGGCGGCCUGGUGCCCCACAGGGGACGCAGGUGAGGGAGGGGGCGGCCUGGAGUGGGGGACCAGGCCCCCCUGACAUCCCCGGGCCCAGAGCUGUGCAGGGUGAAGGCCCGGCCCUGGGGUCUUGGCAGGUGGGAGGGUCCAGUAGGGAAGGAUGGGCCGAGGGUGGCUGGAUUAGAGGAAGG
ensembl:lncRNA